UAGGGUAUAUUGCAAAAUGGGCGAAAGCCCGAUGCAGCAACGCCGCGUGGGCGAUGAAGGCCUUCGGGUCGUAAAGCCCUUUUUGAGGGGAUGAGGAAGGACAGUAACCUCAGAAUAAGCCUCGGCUAACUACGUGCCAGCAGCCGCGGUAAAACGUAGGAGGCGAGCGUUAUCCGGAUUUACUGGGCGUAAAGCGCGUGCAGGCGGAUUGGAGAGUUGGAUGUGAAAGCUCCCGGCUUAACUGGGAGAGGUCGUUCAAUACUUCCAGUUUUGAGUGCAGUAGAGGGAAGUGGAAUUCCGGGUGUAGUGGUGAAAUGCGUAGAUAUCCGGAGGAACACCAGUGGCGAAAGCGGCUUCCUGGACUGUAACUGACGCUCAGACGCGAAAGCUAGGGUAGCAAACG
rnacentral:rRNA from 1 species